ensembl:lncRNA
CACCUCUUUUCUGCAACGUUUUUAGCCUUUUCACCUCUUAUCAGCACAAUUCUCUGCCUCUUCUGCUCAUUUCAGCACAAUUGUCAGUCUCUCCACUCCUUCUUUGUGAGAAUGAGUUUGGCUCAGCGAGCUAAAUAAGCUAAAUAGCUGCCAUUAGCUCAGGAGGGCCAGGUUCGAAUCCUGCUCAGGGCAACUUUUUUUUGUUUGUUUUUUUCUUCAUUCAACUUUUUCAGCUUUUUUCAGCCGACAUCUUCAGCAUUAAGGCAUCCACACAGCAUUUUCGUAGGAAUUGCAAAUUUUUCUAGUUCUAGUUAUUUUCCUUUUUCCGCCUGAAAUUUUGCAGCGUAACUCAUCCCACAGUUUUGACACAAGCUUCAGAUAUGUUAUAUCAUUUUGUGCGGCUGCAUCAGGAAUGGUGUGCUAUGACUUUUGGUGUUUAUUACUUCUAUAGUUUUUUAAAAUGAAUAUUUUAAUGCAAGUUUUUGCCCAUUGAAAUGAAUGGGAAGGAAAGUGAAACUUAACUUGAAACGAAAGUGAAACUUAAUUUGUGGUGUGUUGGCUCACUCACUUAAUUUGUGGUGUGUUGGCUCACUCUAGUGGUAUGCCAGCAGUAGUACGGCCUGUCUACCCUUAUUUGGAUUUUUUUUUUGUAGCCGUAUAAAUGGCAAACUACACUCAUUGGCAGCGGCAUAGGCACACUUAAAAUUUCUUCAGAAAUUUUCGCUUUCUAGUUAUUAUUGUUAUUAUUAUUCUUUUCUUUAAUUCAAUUCUUUUAUUCAAUUGUAGUUACUCUAACAACUGUUGCUGAAACGCGGGUGAAUAGUUCCUCGGUUUAGGGUGGACCUGUUCCAAGAAGAGGGCGGAAGUAUUUUUGGGGUCAAGGGAUGCCUGUAUGUUCUUACACAGGCUGGGGUGUGGGAAGGGUUGUUCUCUCAAAUCGGUAAAUUCUCAACAUGGUACAAUGCUUUUUGUUUUUGUUUUUUUUUGUUUUUUUUAAUAUAUGUAUUUAUUUACUAGUACAGCUUUAACAUAAGUGAAUAUAUAUAGCAGAAGUCUUGAUUGACUUUGUUUCUUGGAACUGUAGAGGUCUGCGUAAGUUAGCAAAAAUAAAACAAGUCAUUAGUAGGACUAAGAAAUUAAAAGCCAAAAUUGUGUUUCUACAAGAAACUCAUAUGCUAGGCAGUGAGACAAAUAGAAUGAAACAUAGAUGGCCAGGUCAAAUCUUUUCAGCGCCUUACUCCUCCAAUUCCAGGGGCAUUAUGAUAAUGAUUCACAAAUCUAUACCCUUUCAUGUUGAGCAUGUGCUUAAGGAUUCUAAUGGGCGUUUAUUAAUACUACAAGGUAACUUACUAUCUACCAGACUAAAUUUAAUUAAUAUUUAUGGCCCAAACACCAUUAUGGGGCGAUCGUGGCUCAAGAGUUCGCAGUUUGC